GCUCGCUGCUCUUCGUUCUCUCUUUCCUGCGCACCUCGUGGAUGCUAGCUGUCUUUCUGCUACAUAAGCGAUUAAAACAUGUGCAUACCGCGUUACAAGCGAGGAGCAGGUCGCCACGCGCCCAGACCACCGUGAUAAAUGUUGUGACUUGAUCGUUAUUAUCUGCUGGAUGUUUUACGGUGUGAUUUUAAGCGCAGGUCACUGAAAUGGUGGACUUUACAAUGUAAGUAUUCUGUGUUUUUAGUGUUAUUACUAUAUUUCUAGUUCAUUGCUUAAUUGAGCUAUACAAAACUGUCGGUUUUUCCCGUACCAAAAGGAAAAGCGUUAGUUUGAGUUGUGUUCUGUGAUGAAACUGCUACAUAGGAAGUGCCGUCUGAUGCGAUAACUGACGAUGGCAAAGCAAGAUCAGUCUGAGACACAACGUGCAGAUGUGUUGUUUCACUGCUCUGGACACCGCAGAUGUGUGAUCACGUGUUUCUCUUCUCCACAGGUGAACAUCUGAUCCUGGACCCUGCUUCAGCACUGAGCUGGUCAAUCUCUCGCUUGAAUCUUCCUGAGAUGCAUCUGCUUCCAGAACCCGUCUGAAGCAUGUUUUAUAUCUAUAGAUUGAUCCGAAGCCACCGUGAAGUCUCCUGAUUCACCUGCAUGCAGUGCUAAGCGCUCCAUGGUGACCGUGACGAAUGCUGGAGAUUGACGUCAGACCAAAUGUCUUUUACAAUGUUUAUUAAAUAAAACAUAUAAAA